GUCACAGGGUAAGAGGACAAUCAUGGUUGUUUCUCCCUCUUUACCACUAUCUACAAAAUUUGCUUUUUUUUUGGUAGCGAUGUGGGUCUCACUAUGUUGCCCAGGCUGGUCUUGAACUGCUGGACUCAAGCAAUGCUCCCACCUCAGCCUCCCAAAGUGCUGGGAUUACAGGCAAGAGCCACCAUGCCUGGCCUCAAAUGUUUUAUAAGGAAUGUAUAUUUUACUUAUAUAGCUAAAAAAAAGAAAGAAAAGAUAAAGCAUACAAAAUUAAAAUUAUUCUAUAAUAAUGAAUUUAAGUUGAUUUUCUGAAUAUCUCAUGUACCUCUUUACUGGUUUAAGACUAGUAAAAGAGCUUGUGGCUUUUAACAAAUACCCAAUGUCACCAAUCAAAAGGAAACUAUUUACAGAGAAGACUGGGGUUUACCCAAGUAACAGAGUGUACAUGAAGGGAAUCUAGGGGCUGGAAAUAUACAAAACUACCGACGCUAACCAGAUACCUUCCUUCUACACCGCAAGAUCACACAUACACCCAGAGCUGCCACAUCUGUGUGGAAAACAAAACAGUUCUCAAAGUAAAAGCCAGUUGAUAUUCCUGUCAGGGCAAAUGUAAAACUGUUAAAGAAAGGAAGUUAACUGACAAAGAACACAUGACAGGGGAGAUGGCAGACCCGUUUUCCUAUUCCAACCUGGUCCAUGACACAGUUUUCAAACUACAGGUCACAAUCCAAUGAGGGGUCAUAACAUUAAUUUAAUGGGUUGAAACCAGGAUUUUGCAAAUAGGAAUGAGAAAAAAAAAGUGACUGCAUAUAGUAAGGGCACAGCUUCAUUAAACCUUUAGUAUAUAUGUUUACUGGGCAGUAAUAAAAAAUAUGCCUGUUACUGAAGGUCAUGAUCAAAAGCUUGAAAAAUGCUAACUUAGGAAAUUUUGAGAGAUCCUUUUAUAGCUCACAAGUAUGACAAUCUGGUAUUCAUGCACAUGGGUGAGAUGUGCCUCCCUCAAACCUCAUUAUAACGUCAGCACAUUACCCAUUUGACAUGAAAAAAAAAAAAAAAACUUGAUAACUAUUCUAGCUACAUAUAGCCAAAAAACCAACCAACCAACCCCACUAAUCCAUGGAAUUUGGACACACAGAAAAUUUUUAAUAUCUGUAUCACUAAAUGAAGUGAAAAAUAUAAGCCACAAACUAGUAUAUGGAGUAAGAGCCAAGUUUCUGAUUUUUAAAAAACUGUAUUAAAAAAUAAACACACACAAAUUCAGGAAAAGACCUGAAAGCACAUCGGAUGGUCAUUCUGGGUGGCAGGAUCAUGAGGGACUUUUCUUUCUCCUUUACCUGAAUUUUCUAUAUUUUCUACAACCAUGCAUUCAUUUUUAAAAGGAAGCUAAAGAGACAUGACAACUAAACGUUAAUAUCUGAUCCUAGACUGGAUCACAGACUGGAGAAAAAUAUGCUAUAUAAAGGAACUGUGCUAGAAUAGGAGGGGCUUUAAAAAUAUACAAUAAAAUAAAGAAGACACUGGGGAGGUGGCUAAUGCCUGUAAUCCCAGUACUUUGGGAGGCCGAGGAGGGAAGAGGAUCGCUUAAGGCCAGGAGUUUGAGAUCAGCCUGGGCAACAUAGCAAGAGACCCCGUUUCUACAAAAAAAAUUUAAAAAUUAGCUUGGUAUGGUGGUGCCUGCCUGUGUACCCAGCUACUCAGGAGGCUGAGUUGGGAGGAUUCCUUGAGCCCAGGAGUUCGAGGCUGCAGUGAGCUAUGAUUGCACCACUGCACUCCGGCCUGGGCAACAAAGCAAGACCUUGUUUCUGGAGGAAAAAAAAAAAAAAAAAAAUAUAUAUAUAUAUAUAUACACACACACACACACACACACACACACACACACACAUACAUACAUAUAUAUACAUAUAUAUAUCAAACACACAUAUAUAUACAUAUAUAUAUACACACACAUACAUAUAUAUAUAUACAUAUAUAUAUAUAUAAAAUCGGGUCUGUGAAAAGAAAAUAAAUCUUGGGGCCCCCAAAUCUCUAUGCUAAAUGGAAAAGUCAAGCUGGGAACUGCUUAGGGCCAACCUGCCUCCCAUUCUAUUCAAAGUCACCCUCUGCUCACUGAGAUAAAUGCAUAUCUGACUGCCUCCUUUGGAAAUGCUAAUCAGAAACUCAGAAGGAUGCAACCACUUGUCUCUUAUCUACCUAUAACCUAUAAGUCCCCUCCCUGCUUUGAGUCUUCCUGCCUUUGCUUCCAGUUGUCCUGCCUUUCCAGACUGAACCAAUGUUCAUCUUGUGUAUGUUGACUGAUGUCCCCCUAGAAUGUAUAAAACCAAACUGUGCUCUGACCACCUUGGGCACAUGUCAUCAGGACCUCCUGAGGCUGUGUCCCAGGUGCAUGUCCUCAAUUUUGGCAAAAUAAGCUUUCUAAAUUAACUGAGACCUGUCUCAGAUUUUCAGGGUUCACAGGUCGAAUUGACACAAUUUGGAAUAUGAAUGGGAGAGUAAAGGUAUACAUCAAUGUUUCAGUAAAAGAAUAUUCCUAUUCUAGGCCAGGCGUGGUGGCUCACCCCUGUAAUCCCAGCACUUUGGGAGGCCGAGGUGGGUGGAUCACUUGAGGUCAGGAGUUCAAGGCCAGCCUGGCCAACAUGGUGAAACCCCAUAUCUACCAACAAUACAAAAGUUAGCCGGGCGUGGUGGUGUGCUCCUGUAAUCCCAGCUACUCAGGAAAGGCUGAGGCAGGAGAACCACUUGAACCCAGGAGGUGGAGGUUGCAGUGAGCCAAGAUUGUGCCACUGCACUCCAGCCUGGGUGACAGAGUGAGACACUGCCACCAAAAAAAAAAAAAAUCCCUAUUCUUAUGAAAUACACAAACAAGCAUAAAGGCAUAACUUACCCUAUAAUGUGUAUUUUACACACAUGCAAUGUGUACACACCCACAUAUGGUGGGGGGACACACAUGAACAUAAAAGAUAAAGCAAAAUGGGCUAAUACAUUAACAAUAGGUCACUAUGGGUAAAGAGUAUAUGGGUGUUCUCUGUACUAUUUUUAUUUUUGUGACUUUUUUCUAAGUUAUAAAUUAUUUCUAAGUAAAAGGUUUAAAAACAUGUAUUCACUUAAGUUUUAAGAAAUUACUUAAAAAACAGAUAAAUCAUUCAUGUUAACCUCCACCCAGAGGUCUGCCAACGUGUAAGAAAUGGGAUGUGCCUUUACCUAUAGCUUUGAUACAUUACAUGGAAGCAGCCAGACCCUCAAACAGCUCCCACUCUGGAAAAUGGGCCUUACCUUCACCUCACCAGGGCCAGAUGGCUGUUGAAUGGGCUGGCCCAGCUGCUUCAGUGUGCUUGGCUUCA
rnacentral:lncRNA from 1 species